rnacentral:lncRNA from 10 species
UUUCAAACUGUAAGCUCCUAGAAAGACAAGUUUGAAAUUGAGCUCUCGCACAGCAUUUCCAAUUACCACAUAUUUAUUACACUAUUUGUCCACUUCCCAGUAAAUAGUAGUAGCUUCAUUUUAGUGUUAUGUUUUACUUCAGUUUAUCUUCCCAAACUACAUAGGUAAAUACACACACAUACACAUCCUCAUAUAUCCAGUUUCUUUAGAACCUAAUUAUCAAAUUUUAUUUUUCUGCUGAACAUUUAAAUUUCCAAAUACAUCAUUCAGAAAUAAAUACAAUGCUUUUUUUCCUGACAUUUCUUCUUCUGAUGCAUUGUUUAACUUACCUCGACCUUGCUUAACCCUCGACCUUUUUCUUUAAUCAUAGAAUUACAUGAGAAAGUCCUUGAGGCUACUCUGCUACUAAAUAGCUUGGAAACUAUAUUCACACUGUAUCACUCUACUUUUCAAUUUAAGAGAAAUAUAAAGGAGGUAGGCCAGAUCACACCACUAUGGUCAAAUCCUAUCUACCCCAACAGUGACACCUGUGACUUUUGACAUUUCAAUACACUAUCUUCACAGCAUUGCAUAAACUAAUUUGAAAAAAAUAAUUAGUUGGGCUAAGUUUUGGCUUUACAAAUAAACAGAUUAAUAAAAACAUUGUCCUACAUUCAAAGGCCUUCAUUUACAGUGAGGAAAAUAAUGUAAACAUAAUGUUAGAAAAUAUUCUACUAGACAUGGAAAAGUUAUCAGUGUGAUCAAUACAAUGUGAAAUUGGAAUUUACGGAAAAAAAUAUGAGUUUUUAAGGGAAACUUUGACACAGUAUGUGCUCUAAGGGAAGAGUAGAAUAUUCCGUGUAAAUGCAGACGGCCAAGGAGAAGAGGGUAAUUCAUAGUCUAGACUCAGGAAAGGCUUCAGGAGAGAGCUUGACUGGUCUUGGUGACAGAGAACUGGGAGAUGUGUUUCCUAGUCCUGCUCUAUGAAAAAUGUUAACAUUAUUUGCUCAAUAAAAGCUUGCCCCAUUUUAGCCCCUUGUUAGAAGUGCAAUAAUUCUAAAUAGGUGGAAAUAGAUAUAAAAAUAUUUUGUAAGACAAACUUUAUCUCAUAUUAUUUUGUAAUUAAAAUGCACAUUUAAAUUAAACUAUUUUAAAUAAUCGAUUACAAUUCUUAUGUAAAUUUCUUCUCCACUCCACAGACAGCUUUACUUCAUUCUGUUUGUCACUUAAAUUUUGCCAGUGUAUGUAGUAUAUAAUAGUCAUCCAUGGUCUUCAAAAUAUAUCAGGAUAUUUUAUGAUCAGUAUUUUUUCUUCAUCCAAACAGUACAAGCAUUCUUCCCUGAUACAUUUGAAGAUUUCUCUUAAGUUCAAAACUAAUUAUUUUUAUGUACUUCUGGUCUUCACAUUCCAUGAUCCUCACUAUUUAUUUAGUCAAUCUUUGCUGACAAUAUUCCUAUAGUGGACACAUUUAUUUUAAUAUUGAUUGUCUUUACAUUUCUUCAUCUUUCAUUUUAUUAACACUCAUUAUUUUUCCAUCUCACUGCUAGUUUAGCUUUCUUUCCCCCAAGAGGAACUGUAAGGAACAGUCAGAGUGUUUCUCAGAAUGUUCAUUUUCAAAAGUCUUGCAAAAUUCAGCAGUGACGUUAUUGACUACAGAAGCCCUUCCUAUGAUAUUAAACUUGCACCUUAAUUCUUGAUUUGCAGUAUCUACUCCUAAUCCAUCUAGCUUUCAACAUUUUACUACCUUUUUUUCUUGCAAAAUAGUUUUGUUUCCUUUCACUGACCUAUAAAUUGGCUCUGCCUGAUUCACAUGCAUUUAAAUUGGAACCAAUCUUCAGGCAGAUUGAGUAAAUAAACUUUGUUCACCACACGGGUAACACACAAUUGUCUUUUAACAGUGUUGACUCUUGUGCUAUUCUGCUUUUCAUUGAAACACUUCUCAACAGCAAAUUAUUUGCAAAAAAUAUUUUUAAUCAAGUUAUAUUACCUCUUAUAAUUUCUUUUCAUUCUUAAAGAGACCAAACAAAGGUAAGUAUGUUUACAAUAUAAAUGACUAGGGGAAAGAACAAAUUUCAUGAAUGUAGAGGUGCAGUUUUUCAAUCCCUUGUUAAAGUUCUUGGAGAGCCUCUUUACUCAUAGAGAUUUUGUCAUGUAAAUCAAAAUUUAUUCAACAAGGAUCCAUUAGACUUUUCAUUUGUACCUGCUUUGUGCAUAAUGCUAAGGAUAAAAUUUCACAGAAGACAUGGUAUCUGCUCACUGAAAAC